AGCUGGUGCUUUUUUCCUCUAAUUCAAGCCCUUUCCCUGUACUUUUACUCUCCCUUCUCUUGAAAUCUCUCUAUUUGGAAGGCUUAUAUCACAUUAUCCCAUCUGUCAUCUCUAUCUAGCUGGAAAACUCUGCUAUUCCAUAGUUUUACAGUUUAUUGUCCUCCUCUGAGCCUAUUUCAGAGGCAUUGCUGCCUCCUGGAAGGACAGAAACUAGCGUUACAUGAGAUUCAACAAGAUGCAGGCAAAGCAUGGAUUAAUGCAUAGUGUCCUGUUUUGUUCGCUGUUCCUUUCCUAACAAUCCUUAACAGUCCAUCUUCUAUUGGGAUUACUAUUGAGCUGUGAUUUUCACAGAAAUAUUUAUCAUAAACACUGAAAUUCACUUUUUGUGAUAAUGAUGCUUCAACCUCAGAAAUGAAAUAAGCAUGCAGAGCAAGGAGUGCAGCAGGGCAGCAGAAGAGAAAUCUUUAAAGACUUAUUUUGUGAGCAAUACCCCAGGGCUGGCUUCUCAGUUUAUGAAACUACACAUUAAGAAUUCAAAAUUUGUUUUCAUUCUCUGAGCUAAAGAAGGACUUAAACUGUCAGCAAAAAGGAAGAGUAAUGAAGCAAGUCAACAAAGAAAAAUGAGAAUACAACAUCAAGAGUGACUAAUGCAGUGCAGAAUAGUUCAGAAACCACUGAAACCUACAGGCUCCUAUGUCAGCCACAUCCCAGGUUUGCCUCAACUAUGGGUUUUUUCUAAACCACUGAAGCACUUCAACAUUUCAAGUGUGCAUCAAUACAGGACUUCCCAAAUUACCAGCUUAAUUUAAUUCACAAUAUGAGAUAAGAUAAUCAUCAGGCAUUUAGAAGAAAAGCUGACAGCAACAAAUAGGGGUGGGGCUCAAGAAGAUUUGAACGUGUUCAACCAAUGAAUCCUUCCCUAGCUGAAAAUUCAAUCAAAACCUGCCCGUGCCAGAAAAUAGCAUGGGUGUAUCCAGAGCCUGACAAAAACAAUCAUGUAAGACAUAAGCAUUAUCUAAUGCAUUCAUUUUUCUUGGAUUUUCAAGAGAAGAUGACAGACAAGAUUGUUUCCUUCACAGGUUGUCAGACUUCAAGAUGAACAAUGCAGAAAGCUAAAAGCCACUAUUUGAAAAGUAACUCAUAUUGUUAGCAGAAUACACACUUGGUCUUCACAAGCACU
ensembl:lncRNA